CCUCAGGGGCCGCCGCCAUUUUGGUGCGGGGCAAAGGCGGAGGGUGGGGUAGGGUUGUGGAUGUUAUCGCUACUCCUCGGCUCACGGGCUGACGGAAUGUGGAGGCUACCGGGCGUCAGCGGUGCCUGCUCCUGGUGCAGCGCGAGAGGAGGGUCCGUGUCCCCGCGGUCCGUUAAGUGUGGGGCCGCUUCAUGUCACCUCAGGCUGUGACCAGGAAAGGAAGAUGCCAAAAUCCUCAGUAAUGGAGAGCAGGAAGGAGUCCCACUUUCAUCUGGAGCAGAGAUAAAGAGGCACAUUCUCCAACAGAUGUCAGCGGUUUGAACCAUGCAACCUCCACUGGACCCCCUGGGAGCCGCACAGGCAAAGUCCAACACACCGAGUCGAGAAAGUAAAGACUGAGGGCCUGAUCCUGCACCAACCCAAGUCCAUGCACCUGAUCCUCUUCCCACUUACACUGACUUCAAGGGAGUUUUUCUGAGGACUGGCUGGGAAAGCACUUGGGGCACGGGAGCCCCUGGGGAGCGAGCUCUCACCUAAGUGCUUCGCUAGAUCGGGAGCUUAGGGAAAGAACAUGGUCCAGCAGCUAAAGGAUGACUACGCUUAAAACAUCUUUAUUUUGGUUCCUGGUUUGUUUGAAAUGCUGAAAAAAUUGACAGCGAUCCUGAUUUUUUAGAAGAGCAAACAGUGCAGCAAUGGUUUCUCCAAGCAAUCACCAGCCAGCCUUGGCUUCUCCUCUCUGAGCCAACCCAGCCUCAGCAAGACAGCACAGCGUGGCAAGGACACCCCUGUGGCUGCCUCUGACCUCCUCCUCCUCCUCCCCCCAAAAUGCCUGGCUACCUCUGGUCCACAAGUCUUUGUUCUCAAGAUGUUUCUCAAAAACAUCCACCCUCCUAUGCUAAAAAAAAAAAAAAAAGCAAGAUGUAAACCUGGUAAGAUUUAUUUUGUAAUAAAAACCCUAAAGGUUUUUAUUGUAUCCCCAUCACUGAUAUUUUCCUAUUAACAAAACUCUAAAUGCAAUCGAUGGCAAUGGGCUGGGUUGCUGAAGGAUUCCUUUCCGCAAGACAUCUCUCCUAUUCCUGUGCCAUGGGAGACCUGUGCUCCUGUGGCAGAGCAGUGAGUACCACCUUGCCCUGUGUAAUUCUCCUCUCAGAUGGAUUUUAUGACCUUUGGAAGCGGCCAGUCCCUGCUUUCUAAUGCCAGUGCCAAUUCUAAGUCACCCAGACCGUGGUGACAGUGCAGCUCAGCAGCACUGCUGGUACCAUCCUCCCAUCCUGCACCGGAGUGGGAGUGAAAAGAGAUGAAGCGGAAAAGACAUUUCAAGGGAUGCUGCAGAAUAAACAUCUUUUAUGUGGCUUGGCUUCAUCGCUCCCAAGAGCCAAACAAGCUACUGGAGCCCAAGGAGAAGAUGCAAGAGGAGGAUGGAAGUUGUGUUGGGACUGGGCAAGAGGGUGGGCCGAGUUGGGGGCCAGCACAAGCAGGGGCAGGGACGGGUGGGACCCACAUCCCACAGCUGUGAACAGUGCCAUGAAAAACAAAAAUGCAAAUGGAGAACAAGAGCUUGUAUGGUGAGGGAUGAGGCAAAGGUGGGAAGUGAAAACCUUGAGGUAGUGAUAGGCAGGUGGAGAUGAAUCCUAGGAAAGUAAAGUGCCUG